UCCAGUAUGAAGGACGUAAUAGGUAUUUUUAUGAGUCAAUGCUAACUAGCGUUAGCGCAAUGGCUGCAAGUUUACAGGAAAAGUUAGCAUGCUAGCUAUUCCUUUGAUCCAACUCUGAGGAUGUAGAUAAAUGGCUUCCUUGACAAAUUCUUGAACUAUCCCUUUAAUAUGGAGGAAAAUACAGUUAUUGGUGCUAAUUACAGGGUUUUUUCUGUAUAGACAAUUCUUAGGCUGGCCGUCUAAGUGGUAAUUUAGUUGACACUGAAAAACAGUUUGUGUCAACUUCAACAACCAAAACCAGAUAGGAAGCAUGCAGAAAAGAUAUUGAACUAUAUAUAUUUUUUAUUAAUACCAUCUUUGAGAACAAACAAUCUAAAUAAAAGCUAGACAGUCAGGGAUAAUAUAUAUUUGUUUAAUUAAACAGGCAUUCAGGCCACAUACCCAUUGAUUUUAUUAUAAUGUUUGAGCAGAAGAACAUAGCCUUUCGAAUGGCAAAAUGCAUAGAAUUGCAGGAAAUUUGCUUUAAAACUGCUAAAUUUUCUCUGAGCUCCAUGCCAAACUGUAGAAUUGGUGAAAAUUUGCUUUACAACAGCAAAAUGCUCUCUACGCCGACAAGAUAACUUUCCCGUUCUAGUUAAUAGACUACGUUAGAAGAGUGAACUCUGGAGACGUCAAAAUAAUGAAACUAUCUACCAAAAAUGUUAAUUUAAGGGUUACGGUAUAGGCAGGCAUAAGCUAAGGAAAACAAACACAAUUUCAUUUUAUCGAUGGCAAUUUGAAUGCAGAGAUACCGUGACAAGAUCCUGAGGCCUAUUGUCGUGCCAUUCAUUCACUGCUAUCACCUUGUGUUUCAGCAUGAUAAUGGAAGCUGAAAAUGUCCCAGUUCUUCCAUGGCCUGCAUACUCACCAGACAUAUCACCAAUUGAGCAUGUUUGGGAUGCUCCGGAUCGAUGUGUAUGACAGCGUGUUACAGUUCCCGCCAAUAUCCAGCAACUUCACAAAGCCAUUGAAGAGGAGUGGGACAACAUUCCACAGGCCACAAUCAACAGCCUGAUCAACUUUAUCAGAAGGAGAUGUGUGGCGCUGCAUGAGACAAAUGGUGGUCAUACCAGAUACUGAAUGAUUUUCUGAUCCACGCCCCUUCUUUUUUGAAGGUAUUUGUGACCAACAGAUGCAUAUCUGUAUUUCCAGUCAUGUGAAAUCCAUAGAUUAGGGCCUAAUGCAUUUAUUUAAAUUGACUGAUUUCCUUGUAUGAACUGUUACUCAGUAAACUUUGAAAUUGUUGCAUGUUGCAUUUAUAUUUUUGUUCAAUGUAUUAUUAUUUUUUCAUAACAGAUAAUGGGAGUCCCUGGGUCGCCGGUUUGCCUGGGCGGGGGUCCCUGGGUCGCCGGUUUGCCUGGGCGGGGGUCCCUGGUUCACCGGUUUGCCUGGGCGGGAGUCCCUGGGUCGCCGGUUUGCCUGGGCGGGAGUCCCUGGGAAAGAAAAGUUUGAAAACCCCAGUCUUAGACCACUAGAAACCUAGUAAACUCGUAAAUGAUCAGUGCAUCAAACAGUUAAGUAAUGACACAGAUUUCUUAUGUCAAAUGGAUCAGUAAUGUUCCCUCAGUGGUAGGUUCUCCAUACAGUGAAACAUAUCAUUUGAUAAUGUGGGUAGACUGGGAAUGUUCAGCCACACCAUAGCUCUGUAUUGAACUCAUGGCAGGAUUGUUACAGCGAUGCUAGAAAGUAGGCCAACCACAUUUGCCCUGACCCAUUCUUACACUGUCUAUUUUCUUAUUAUCAAUCCAUCCUCAACACUUUAACACUGCGAACAUACCAGACUAGGGCUGAUAGAGGAUCAAACUGGACACAUCUCUUACCUCACACUACCACUCUCACCAUUAAGAUAUCACAAUGUCUUAUCAAAAAUCUUGUAUUUCUCCCCGAUUGAAUAUACUCUCCCAAACUUUUCUAUCACCUCACACUUUAUUUUGCUCUUUCCUUUACGAUAUCCCACCCUCUCUUUCUUGUUCCCCUUCUUUCUCCCCCUUAGCCUGGUCCUGACUCCCUGGUUCCUGGGGCCUGGCCAAGGCGUGUGUCCCUGGAGGAGCCAGCAAGGAGAUGGAGAGAGGGGGCAGCGAGGGGGCGAAGAGACAGGCUCCAAAACCACAGCUGCAGCAGUCUUUCCUUCCCUUUCUCUCUCUCUCCUGUCCUCUUUCCCUUCCCUUCACGUUGUAAGGAACUGGCCUGGCACACUCCCCAGCUCUGCCAUUAAUCAGGGAGUGAGGGGUAGUUCAGUGUGUGUGUGUGUGUGUGUGUGUGUGUGUGUGUGUGUGUGUGUGUGUGUGUGUGUGUGUGUGUGUGUGUGUGUGUGUGUGUGUGUGUGUGUGUGUGUGUGUGUGUGUGUGUGGAUGGGUGUGGGGGUGGGUGGGUGUGUGUGUGCGCACAUGUGGCUGAAUGUGUGUGUUUAUGCGUAUGUUUGUGUGUGCUGAUAGAGAGCUGGAUGGAAUGGGGGUGAUGGUACAGAGACCAGGACCUCCCAACAAAGCUGAAGAGUUCACCCAGCGAGCGAAAGGGAGGGAGGCUGACAGACAAAAAGCCUGGUGUACAGAUUGUGACUGCCAGUGAGAGACAGAGGACGAGCUAGAUGAUCUACAGAGAGGCAGAGAUGGUCCAGGCCUUUCCCUAUGUACAUGACCCACAUUCUUCAGGCAGAGAAGUGAUGGGACUGUCUGUUAUCCCCAGAAUGACUCCUCUGCCCAAGACCAACAUAACAUUUUAAAUACCUUUCACGAACACUUUGAGAAUGUUCAUGUGUUUGCAGCAGAGUGCAAAUCAGGGACAAGACGCAAGUGUGUACGACAGGUAAGAAAGUACAGACAUCAUUAUACAGGGACAGUUCCCUGAAGGAAAGCAGUUCAUA
ensembl:lncRNA